GGGAAUUGGCGGUUAACGACAUGCUCACUUUACUUGGACGUUUUCUAAUCGUCUUCUUUGGAAUAUGCUUUCAAGGUCUGUGAAGCCAAACUUGAUGCUGGGGAUUUAUUUUUGUCAGUGGAGUCAAAUGGUCUAGAUGAUCACAUCUGACUUUGUCAUUUAAAUGAGGUGGACUUGCAAACUUUGCACUCUUUUGGAUUUCAAGACAGAGCUUAUUGUUCUCUGAACUUCCUUGUUUGCUGAACGGCAGGUUGAAGCAGAAUUUGCCCGUCUUACAUCUGUUGACCUGAAAGGGUUCCUUUUUGCUGUGCUUGACCAUUAUGGAGAGGUUCGUGGAGCUGUACAAAAUCAAGAGCGGCAUAGGAGGGCUAACUAGGCUCAUAAGAUGCUUCGGAGAUGAUAGCCCUACACAAAGGAAGAGGACAGAGGACCUCAUUUUCUAAAGGAAGAUCCCUCACACACUUUCAAGACUGUGAAGCCGACAGGUAUUGAAGACACGUUUUCUAAGAGGAUGAAAGUUGGCAUUGCGAUGGUGAAAGAAGAAGACAUCAUCGAUGUGUUGGUUGUCCUUGAGGCGGCAGUAAUCCUGUCUAAUCUGAGGGAUGUCUCAG
ensembl:lncRNA